UGCUAGGUUCUCGCUGGUGGGUUGUUACCA
rnacentral:piRNA from 1 species